rnacentral:rRNA from 1 species
UAGGGGGGGACGCCUGCCCGGUGCCGGAAGGUUAAUUGAUGGGUUUAGCGCAAUCAAAGCUCUUGAUCGAAGCCCCGGUAAACGGCGGCCGUAACUAUAACGGUCCUAAGGUAGCGAAAUUCCUUGUCGGGUAAGUUCCGACCUGCACGAAUGGCGUAACGAUGGCGGCGCUGUCUCCACCCGAGACUCAGUGAAAUUGAAAUCGCUGUGAAGAUGCAGUGUAUCCGCGGCUAGACGGAAAGACCCCGUGAACCUUUACUAUAGCUUUGCACUGGACUUUGAAUUUGCUUGUGUAGGAUAGGUGGGAGGCUUUGAAGCGUGGACGCCAGUCUGCGUGGAGCCAACCUUGAAAUACCACCCUGGCAACUUUGAGGUUCUAACUCAGGUCCGUUAUCCGGAUCGAGGACAGUGUAUGGUGGGUAGUUUGACUGGGGCGGUCUCCUCCUAAAGAGUAACGGAGGAGUACGAAGGUGCGCUCAGACCGGUCGGAAAUCGGUCGUAGAGUAUAAAGGCAAAAGCGCGCUUGACUGCGAGACAGACACGUCGAGCAGGUACGAAAGUAGGUCUUAGUGAUCCGGUGGUUCUGUAUGGAAGGGCCAUCGCUCAACGGAUAAAAGGUACUCCGGGGAUAACAGGCUGAUACCGCCCAAGAGUUCAUAUCGACGGCGGUGUUUGGCACCUCGAUGUCGGCUCAUCACAUCCUGGGGCUGAAGCCGGUCCCAAGGGUAUGGCUGUUCGCCAUUUAAAGUGGUACGCGAGCUGGGUUUAGAACGUCGUGAGACAGUUCGGUCCCUAUCUGCCGUGGACGUUUGAGAUUUGAGAGGGGCUGCUCCUAGUACGAGAGGACCGGAGUGGACGAACCUCUGGUGUUCCGGUUGUCACGCCAGUGGCAUUGCCGGGUAGCUAUGUUCGGAAAAGAUAACCGCUGAAAGCAUCUAAGCGGGAAACUUGCCUCAAGAUGAGAUCUCACUGGAACCUUGAGUUCCCUGAAGGGCCGUCGAAGACUACGACGUUGAUAGGUUGGGUGUGUAAGCGCUGUGAGGCGUUGAGCUAACCAAUACUAAUUGCCCGUGAGGCUUGACCAU